ensembl:lncRNA
GGAAUAUUCCGAGUUGGACAGUUCGGGGUUACUCAACCGUGAGUGUCGUUUUUCACUCUGAGUUUUCCAAACCGGCUUCCUGAAACAGGGCCCUGGUGGUCCAUAUAUCGAAAAGGAAGGGCUCAGUUUUGGUUGGAGCUGUUUGCGGAUCUUCGAGACGCUGGAUACUUCAAUGGAAGUCAUGAGCAUCAGUGUCUUUUGAGAUUUUGCUUCACUGACAUUGUUCAGAAGGAUCUUGAUGAAUGUGUGAAGUUGUGGAACACUCAUCGGAUUCGUCCCUCAAGAACAGCUUCAUGUCCAGGAGGCGUGCCAAAUGAACUGUACUACCUACCCCACAGAUACGGCUCCAGGGACUGUGGAUUCCUGAUUCAACAAUCUGAACUGGACACUUUUCUUGAGUCUAGGCUGUCAGUAGUUGUAUGUGGGGACUCAAACAUACAGGAGUAUCUGAAUUUUGUAAUGGAGCAAAAUCAUUUUCAAAAGCCAGUCUGCUGGGAGUCUGCCACUGAACUCUACAUGAAGUUAUUAGAAAUUGCAAAUUUCUAAAAAAAAAAUAAAAUAAAAAAACCCAAAAAAAACCCACCUUUUUUCUUUUUUUUUUUUUUUACCAAAACCUAUAGCAUAUGCUGUAUUUUUGUACUAGGCUACAUGAGUUGGCUGAAGAUGCCAAAAGUUUAAGUUAGUGUUUGUAAAAGCACAUUCUUACUGCAAUGUCUUGCUAAUUGUGAU